rnacentral:rRNA from 1 species
GAUGAACGCUGGCGGCGUGCCUAAUACAUGCAAGUCGAGCGAACGGACGAGAAGCUUGCUUCUCUGAUGUUAGCGGCGGACGGGUGAGUAACACGUGGAUAACCUACCUAUAAGACUGGGAUAACUUCGGGAAACCGGAGCUAAUACCGGAUGAUAUUUUGAACCGCAUGGUUCAAAAGUGAAAGACGGUCUUGCUGUCACUUAUAGAUGGAUCCGCGCUGCAUUAGCUAGUUGGUAAGGUAACGGCUUACCAAGGCAACGAUGCAUAGCCGACCUGAGAGAGUGAUCGGCCACACUGGAACUGAGACACGGUCCAGACUCCUACGGGAGGCAGCAGUAGGGAAUCUUACGCAAUGGGCGAAAGCCUGACGGAGCAACGCCGCGUGAGUGAUGAAGGUCUUCGGAUCGUAAAACUCUGUUAUUAGGGAAGAACAUAUGUGUAAGUAACUGUGCACAUCUUGACGGUACCUAAUCAGAAAGCCACGGCUAACUACGUG